UACGGAGGGUGCAAGCGUUAAUCGGAAUUACUAGGCGUAAAGCGCACGCAGGUGGCUGAGUCAGUCGAUUGUGAAAGCCCUGGGCUUAACCUGGGAAUUGCAGUCGAUACUACUCAGCUAGAGUAUGGGAGAGGGCAGUGGAAUUCCCGGUGUAGCGGUGAAAUGCGUAGAUAUCGGGAGGAACAUCAGUGGCGAAGGCGGCUGCCUGGCCCAAUACUGACACUCAGGUGCGACAGCGUGGGGAGCAAACAGG
rnacentral:rRNA from 1 species